rnacentral:rRNA from 1 species
AGUGAACGCUAGCGGUAGGCCUAACACAUGCAAGUCGAACGGCAGCACAGUAAAAGCUUGCUCUUAUGGGUGGCGAGUGGCGGACGGGGGAGGAAUACAUCGGAAUCUACUUUUUCGUGGGGGAUAACGUAGGGAUACUUACGCUAAUACCUCAUACGACCUACGGGUGAAAGCAGGGGAUCUUCGUACCUUGCCCGAUUGAAUGAGCCGGUGUCGGAUUAGCUAGUUGGCGGGGAAAAGGCCCCCCAAGGCGACGAUCCGUAGCUGGGCUGAGAGGAUGAUCGGCCACACUAGAACUGAGACACGGUCCAGACCCCAACGGGAGGCAGCAGUGGAGAAUAUUGGACAAUGGGCGGAAGCCUGAUCCAGCCAUACCGCGUGGGUGAAGAAGGUCUUCGGGUUGUAAAGCCCUUUUGUUGGGAAAGAAAAGCAGCAGGUUAAUACCCCGCUGUUCUGACGGUACCAAAAGAAUAAGCACCGGCUAACUUCGUG